CCUACGGGAGGCAGCAGUAGGGAAUCUUUCACAAUGGGCGAAAGCCUGAUGGAGCAACGCCGCGUGCAGGAUGAUGGCCUUCGGGUUGUAAACUGCUUUUAUAAGCGAGAAAUAUGAUGGUAACUUAUGAAUAAGGAUCGGCUAACUACGUGCCAGCAGCCGCGGUCAUACGUAGGAUCCGAGCAUUAUCCGGAGUGACUGGGUGUAAAGAGUUGCGUAGGUGGCAUAAUAAGUAGCUAGUGAAAUCUGGUGGCGCAACCAUUCAGACUAUUAUCUAAACUGUUAAGCUCGAGACCGUUAGGGGUAACUGGAAUUUCUAGUGUAGGAGUGAAAUCCGUAGAUAUUAGAAGGAACACCAAUAGCGUAGGCAGGUUGCUGGGACGGUUCUGACACUAAGGCACGAAAGCGUAGGGAGCAAACGGGAUUAGAUACCCGAGUAGUC
rnacentral:rRNA from 1 species